UUGAACGCUGGCGGCAUGCCUUACACAUGCAAGUCGAACGGUAACAGGUCUUCGGAUGCUGACGAGUGGCGAACGGGUGAGUAAUACAUCGGAACGUGCCCGAUCGUGGGGGAUAACGGAGCGAAAGCUUUGCUAAUACCGCAUACGAUCUACGGAUGAAAGCUGGGGACCGCAAGGCCUUGCGCGGACGGAGCGGCCGAUGGCAGAUUAGGUAGUUGGUGGGAUAAAAGCUUACCAAGCCGACGAUCUGUAGCUGGUCUGAGAGGACGACCAGCCACACUGGGACUGAGACACGGCCCAGACUCCUACGGGAGGCAGCAGUGGGGAAUUUUGGACAAUGGGCGAAAGCCUGAUCCAGCCAUGCCGCGUGCAGGAUGAAGGCCUUCGGGUUGUAAACCGCUUUUGUCAGGGAAGAAACGCUCUGGGCUAAUACCCUGGGGUAAUGACGGUACCUGAAGAAUAAGCACCGGCUAACUACGU
rnacentral:rRNA from 1 species